rnacentral:rRNA from 1 species
CCUACGGGUGGCAGCAGUGGGGAAUAUUGGGCAAUGGGCGCAAGCCUGACCCAGCAACGCCGCGUGAAGGAAGAAGGCUUUCGGGUUGUAAACUUCUUUUCUCAGGGACGAAGAAAGUGACGGUACAUGAGGAAUAAGCCACGGCUAACUACGUGCCAGCAGACGCGGUAAUACGUAGGUGGCAAGCGUGAUCCGGAUUGAUUGGGUGUAAGGGGCGUGUAGGAGGGAGCGCAAGUCAGAUGUGAAAACUGAGGGCUCAACCCUGAGCCUGCAUUUGAAACUGUGUUUCUUGAGUGCUGGAGAGGCAAUCGGAAUUCCGUGGGUAGCGGUGAAAUGCGUAGAUAUACGGAGGAACACCAGUGGCGAAGGCGGAUUGCUGGACAGUAACUGACGCUGAGGCGCGAAAGCGUGGGGAGCAAACAGGAUUAGAUACCCCAGUAGUC